GUUAACGGAACGUCGACUAAGAUCUGCCACGUCCUUAUGUCUUACGUCGACGCCAACACAUCCUGUGUA
rnacentral:sRNA from 1 species